GUCAGUCUAAGGACUGCGCUUAGGAUUGGUAGCACCUGCUACCCAGGGUCUUGACUAUAAUUGCUGAUGCUGCUAAGUCGCUUCAGUCGUGUCCGAAUCUGUGCGACCCUAUGGACGAUAGCUUGCCAGGCUCCUCUGUCCAUGUGAUUCUCCAGAGUAUGAAAAUUACAACUCGCUGUUGAACAAUCAUUGACAGGAAGACACUGGAACCCACCAAAAAAAAGAUGCCCCGCAUCCAAGGACAAAGGAGAAG